ACUCCUACGGGAGGCAGCAGUGGGAAUAUUGGACAAUGGGGGCAACCCUGAUCCAGCAAUGCCGCGUGUGUGAAGAAGGCCUACGGGUUGUAAAGCACUUUCGGCGGGGAGGAGGCAGUAGGGUUAAUAGCGCUACUGAUUGACGUUACCCGCAAAAGCAGCACCGGCUAACUCUGUGCCAGCAGCCGCGGUAAUACAGAGGGUGCAAGCGUUAAUCGGAGUGACUGGGCGUAAAGGGCGUGUAGGCGGAUAUUUAAGUUAAUUGUGAAAGCCCGGC
rnacentral:rRNA from 1 species